rnacentral:SRP_RNA from 1 species
GCUGGGCAUGGUGGCGCAUGUCUGUAAUUCCAACUACUUGGGAGGCUGAGGCGGGAGAAUUGCUUGAACCCAGGAGGCGGAGGUUGCAGUGAGCUAAGAUUGUACCACUGCACUCCAGCCUGGGCCACAAAGCAAGAUUCCGUCUCAA